GACAGAGGGUGCAAACGUUGUUCGGAAUUACUGGGCAUAAAGCGCACGUAGGUGGUCCGCUAAAGUCGCGUGUGAAAUCCCCCCGGCUCAACCGGGGAAAUGCGCGUGAUACUGGCGGGCUUGAGAUCGGGAGGGGUGAAUGGAACUCCAGGUGGAGCGGUGAAAUGCGUAGAUAUCUGGAGGAACACCGGUGGCGAAAGCGGUUCACUGGCCCGACACUGACACUGAGGUGCGAAAGCUAGGGUAGCAAACGGG
rnacentral:rRNA from 1 species